CUGCUGAGGGUAGGUUUUCAUCUGUCGCUGAAGGGUAGGUUUCAUCUGUCUGCUGAAGGGUAGGUAUUCAUCUGUCUGCUGAAGGGUAGGUAUUCAUCUGUCUGCUGAAGGGUAGGUAUUCAUCUGUCUGCUGAAGGGUAGGUAUUCAUCUGUCGCUGAAGGGUAGGUAUUCAUCUGUCUGCUGAAGGGUAGGUAUUCAUCUGUCUGCUGAAGGGUAGGUUAUUCCUCUGUCUGCUGAAGGGUAGGUAUUCCUCUGUCUGCUGAAGGUA
rnacentral:lncRNA from 1 species